rnacentral:rRNA from 1 species
UAUAAGUGUAAAUAUUAAUGCUGGGGUAGUAAUAGGUUAGGUCUUUAAACUCAAAGAAUAUGGCGGUUUUUUAAUCUUUUCAGAGGAAUCUGUUAGGUAAUUGAAGGUACACGAGUAAGAAUACCUGAUUUUAUAAUUUGUAUAUCGCCGUCUUAAGAUUAUUUUUAUUGAAAAUAACAAUUUUCUUAGAGUUUAAUUAGAAAAGUAAGUCAGGUCAAGGUGCAGUUAUAAUUAGGACAUUUAUGGGUUACAAUAACUAUAAGUUUAAACGGAAAAGUAGAUUGGAUUUUAUUUUGAAGGUGGAUUUGAAAGUAAAUAAUUGAUUGAUUUAUUGAAGUUAGCUCUAAAAUAUGU